rnacentral:rRNA from 1 species
AAGUCGAGCGGUAGCACAGAGAGCUUGCUCUCGGGUGACGAGCGGCGGACGGGUGAGUAAUGUCUGGGAAACUGCCUGAUGGAGGGGGAUAACUACUGGAAACGGUAGCUAAUACCGCAUAAUGUCGCAAGACCAAAGUGGGGGACCUUCGGGCCUCAUGCCAUCAGAUGUGCCCAGAUGGGAUUAGCUAGUAGGUGGGGUAACGGCUCACCUAGGCGACGAUCCCUAGCUGGUCUGAGAGGAUGACCAGCCACACUGGAACUGAGACACGGUCCAGACUCCUACGGGAGGCAGCAGUGGGGAAUAUUGCACAAUGGGCGCAAGCCUGAUGCAGCCAUGCCGCGUGUGUGAAGAAGGCCUUCGGGUUGUAAAGCACUUUCAGCGGGGAGGAAGGCGAUAAGGUUAAUAACCUUGGCGAUUGACGUUACCCGCAGAAGAAGCACCGGCUAACUCCGUGCCAGCAGCCGCGGUAAUACGGAGGGUGCAAGCGUUAAUCGGAAUUACUGGGCGUAAAGCGCACGCAGGCGGUCUGUCAAGUCGGAUGUGAAAUCCCCGGGCUCAACCUGGGAACUGCAUUCGAAACUGGCAGGCUAGAGUCUUGUAGAGGGGGGUAGAAUUCCAGGUGUAGCGGUGAAAUGCGUAGAGAUCUGGAGGAAUACCGGUGGCGAAGGCGGCCCCCUGGACAAAGACUGACGCUCAGGUGCGAAAGCGUGGGGAGCAAACAGGAUUAGAUACCCUGGUAGUCCACGCCGUAAACGAUGUCGAUUUGGAGGUUGUGCCCUUGAGGCGUGGCUUCCGGAGCUAACGCGUUAAAUCGACCGCCUGGGGAGUACGGCCGCAAGGUUAAAACUCAAAUGAAUUGACGGGGGCCCGCACAAGCGGUGGAGCAUGUGGUUUAAUUCGAUGCAACGCGAAGAACCUUACCUGGUCUUGACAUCCACAGAACUUUCCAGAGAUGGAUUGGUGCCUUCGGGAACUGUGAGACAGGUGCUGCAUGGCUGUCGUCAGCUCGUGUUGUGAAAUGUUGGGUUAAGUCCCGCAACGAGCGCAACCCUUAUCCUUUGUUGCCAGCGGUUCGGCCGGGAACUCAAAGGAGACUGCCAGUGAUAAACUGGAGGAAGGUGGGGAUGACGUCAAGUCAUCAUGGCCCUUACGACCAGGGCUACACACGUGCUACAAUGGCAUAUACAAAGAGAAGCGACCUCGCGAGAGCAAGCGGACCUCAUAAAGUAUGUCGUAGUCCGGAUUGGAGUCUGCAACUCGACUCCAUGAAGUCGGAAUCGCUAGUAAUCGUAGAUCAGAAUGCUACGGUGAAUACGUUCCCGGGCCUUGUACACACCGCCCGUCACACCAUGGGAGUGGGUUGCAAAAGAAGUAGGUAGCUUAACCUUCG